CCGGGCUCCGGAGACUCGAAAGCCGCCGCCCAGCACGCUGCUCCUGGCACCUGAAGACCAGCUCCGGGCUGGGCGGGCAACCACAGAGUGACUUGUGACGAUGCCAGGCAGAGAGCGAAGUGAGUAGUCAAAGAAAACUCACCCUGGACAAACCGGCUGCUGGCAUCUCAGCUGCCGGGGUGGGAAGCGCCCUCUGCGGGAAUGAAGUCAUCCUACCCUUUUCUGGGUGCGCCCAGAUAACCGACCAGAGCGUUCCUUUCCCAAGCUCUGGGGCCUGAGGACUUCCAGCUACUCCACCAGGUUCUCAGGUCCUGGACUCCGUCCUAAUUCCUCACCUCCUACUGCGAGCCUUGCACAGGACGAGAGAAGCCACAAGCACAGAACUGAGACUUCCUAUCUGGUUAGCCAGCUGCUUCCAUACUCAGCCAUCGAUACGUUCUUCGAACUGGUCCUUCUCUUCCCUACAACUACCCAGUGACAACAGGGGUCUUCGGUCACUCAAGGCCAGAGACCUCGGUAAUAGGAAUUCCUUUUGCUGAAAGGGAAGCCACUGGGAAGGCUACAAAACGUUCACAACAGUUCUUGUCUUCCACAGGCCUCUAGAGUAUGGAGGGAGCCAUCAGCUUGAUGCAAGCUCUUUGAAGCAGGAUAUAAAAACAUGAAGGCAACAGUCAGGCAUCAUAACAUUUUAUGGUGAACUGAAGAAACGCAGGCUUGCACAGGCCGGUUAACAUUUCAGAAGACAUGCCGGUGCUUGACCUAAAGCAAGGCGGCCCACAAGUGGACUGAAAAACAAUACUAGCUCUCUCUCACAGGGCUUGAGGAGAGUGAUGAAGACGUUUUUUUUUUUUUUUCCAGGUGGAAUAAAAACAAAAACAAAACCCAAAACCAACCAAACAAAAACACAGCCAAGAGGAUGGGGACCGAAGCAUUCCAUGUGGAGCCUCUACUGUUUUAGUUACCCUGAGAGAGGGGAGGACCCCUGACUUCAAUUGGAGAGAGACUACGUAUGCCCUUGGGAAGAAGGCAGCGUGGCUCUUUUCAGCCUGGAGCCGAACUGCUUCCAUGAGCCAGGCAUAAGGCUGCAAAGAGGACCAGAGGAGGAAAACACUGUAAUACUGAGAUAUCAGCAGGUUAACAAUUGUGAAUGCUUCCUUAGCUGGGUGAACCCAAUUCACCACCAGCAAGCAGGAAUUCACAGUAAAGAGUGAGCUCCAAGAACUAAACAGGCAGAGUUCUUUCUAGAAUAAACCAAGGUCGUUGUGGAGGUUGCUGGCAAGGAAGUCUGAAGUGGCCUGGACUACAAGGACUUGUGUUGAAGGGGGGGGGGGGGAAAGACUUGUUUUCAUUGCUCUGCUCAUGGGCACAAAUAGUGACUCUGAAGUCUUGAAAACCCCAACACAGCACUACAGCCCAUUAUGUCACUGCGGUUUUGUUUUAAAAGGACAAAGAGGCAAGUUAGAACCCGAGCCUGCUGCCAGCCUCAGUGCUGACUUUUUCCUCUCCUUGUGAGUUUAGGCACCAUCUCAGUACACCAGUUUGUCAUACUAAGAGCUGUUCAUCUUACUAUUUCUAACUAAUUCCUCUUACUUUACAGCUGGCUCAAUAGGAGAAAAACGCUAACUAAAAGUCACAAAGCAAAUCCCGACUUUUUGAAAGGUAAAUACUGAGAUGAGGGUGGUGGGGAUGCUAUCCUAGGGUCAGACCCAGACGAGCAGUAUCGCCACACCUCACUAGCAGAACCUCGGAUUAUGUUUUUAUAAACCUACACACAGGAAGUCUCAACAAUGAGUGGGAGUCUGUCCUCCAAGGAGAGCCUGCUGGCACCUGACUCAGGAACCAUGUGGUCCUCUUCAGGGUGUCGGUGGGACCAGGCAAUAAAGGUCAAUGCUAGCCGUUCA
rnacentral:sRNA from 1 species